rnacentral:rRNA from 1 species
GUACACGCUGUGACUAGCAUAUCAAUAAGCGGAGGAAAAGAAACUAACAAGGAUUCCCUCAGUAACGGCGAGUGAAGCGGGAAGGAGCUCAAAUUUGAAAUCUUCAAGGUUUUACCUUGACGAAUUGUAGUUUAAAGAAGUGUUUUCUGCUGAAGUUUUGGUAAAAGUUCUUUGGAAUAGGACAUCAUAGAGGGAGAGAAUCCCGUAUUUGACCAUUAUUUUCAGCUUUGUGAUACACUUUCAAAGAGUCGGAUUGUUUGGGAAUGCAGUCCAAAAUGGGUGGUAAAUUUCAUCUAAAGCUAAAUAUUGGCGAGAGACCGAUAGCGAACAAGUACCGUGAGGGAAAGAUGAAAAGAACUUUGAAAAGAGAGUUAAAUAGUACGUGAAAUUGUCAAAAGGGAAGCGUUUAACACCAGUGUUGUUUUCUGAAAAUCAACCUCUGUUAGCUUUAUGCAUGUUUGUUUAGACCUAAUCAGCUAUCUUGCAUGUUCUAUUGUUUGCAGUGGUGCACUUUUCAGUUUACAGGUCAACAUCAGUUUUUUUUACCGUAAAAAAGUUAAAGAAAGGUAGCUCAUGGCUCCGGUCGUGAGUGUUAUAGUCUUUUUCCUAUGCGGUAGGAGAGACUGAGGUCUGCAGUGUAGGCUAUUUGGCUAGAUACUCAGGUGCUAUGUGAUACCAUUUCAUAAACAACUUGUUGAUUAUGUUUUGUCUAUUGCAUACUCGCUUGUACUAUCAUAGCCUACGCUUAGGAUGUUGAGUAGCGACAUACGCAC